GGAGCUGACCACGGUUCUUCUUCGCCUGCUCAGACUUUUUCUUGAAGUCAUCAGCCUCCCAGUGUGCACACAUAGCCUCCCAGGCUAAAUCGGAGACUAUGCGAGGCUGAUGAGCUCUGAUGGUGGUCCCGGGCUGGUCCAUAACUGCCCGGGCUGCCUUCUGUCGCAUCUCAUACAACCAUCCAGAGUAAUUCGCAGCGACGUGAUGCUCAAUCACAGCAUCGCCAGCUGACUGAGAGAUGCUCGGGUCAAAUCGAUAAUAAAC
rnacentral:lncRNA from 1 species